rnacentral:rRNA from 1 species
GACGAACGCUGGCGGCGUGCUUAACACAUGCAAGUCGAACGAAGAGCGAUGGAAGCUUGCUUCUAUCAAUCUUAGUGGCGAACGGGUGAGUAACGCGUAAUCAACCUGCCCUUCAGAGGGGGACAACAGCUGGAAACGACUGCUAAUACCGCAUACGAUCUAACCUCGGCAUCGAGGAUAGAUGAAAGGUGGCCUCUACAUGUAAGCUAUCACUGAAGGAGGGGAUUGCGUCUGAUUAGCUAGUUGGAGGGGUAACGGCCCACCAAGGCGAUGAUCAGUAGCCGGUCUGAGAGGAUGAACGGCCACAUUGGGACUGAGACACGGCCCAGACUCCUACGGGAGGCAGCAGUGGGGAAUCUUCCGCAAUGGACGAAAGUCUGACGGAGCAACGCCGCGUGAGUGAUGACGGCCUUCGGGUUGUAAAGCUCUGUUAAUCGGGACGAAAGGCCUUCUUGCGAAUAGUUAGAAGGAUUGACGGUACCGGAAUAGAAAGCCACGGCUAACUACGUG